GGGUCGUUAGCUCAGUUGGUAGAGCAGUUGGCUUUUAACCAAUUGGUCGUAGGUUCGAGCCCUACACGACCCACCA
rnacentral:tRNA from 1 species